rnacentral:rRNA from 1 species
GACGAACGCUGGCGGCGUGCUUAACACAUGCAAGUCGAACGGAAAGGCCCUGCUUUUGUGGGGUGCUCGAGUGGCGCACGGGUGAGUAACACGUGAGUAACCUGCCCUUGACUUUGGGAUAACUUCAGGAAACUGGGGCUAAUACCGGAUAGGAGCUCCUGCUGCAUGGUGGGGGUUGGAAAGUUUCGGCGGUUGGGGAUGGACUCGCGGCUUAUCAGCUUGUUGGUGGGGUAGUGGCUUACCAAGGCUUUGACGGGUAGCCGGCCUGAGCGGGUGACCGGCCACAUUGGGACUGAGAUACGGCCCAGACUCCUACGGGAGGCAGCAGGGGGGAAUAUGGCACAAUGGGCGGAAGCCUGAUGCAGCAACGCCGCGUGCGGGAUGACGGCCUUCGGGUUGUAAACCGCUUUCGCCUGUGACGAAGCGUGAGUGACGGUAAUGGGUAAAGAAGCACCGGCUAACUACGUG